AGCAUAUCAAUAAGCGGAGGAAAAGAAACCAACAGGGAUUGCCUCAGUAACGGCGAGUGAAGCGGCAACAGCUCAGAUUUGAAAUCGGGCUUCCUCACGGGGCCCGAGUUGUAGUCUGUAGAGGAUGCUUCGGGGGCCGGCGGGCUCAAGUUCCUUGGAACAGGGCGUCAGGGAGGGUGAGAACCCCGUCCGCGGCCCGGGCCGUGCCCCUGCGUGAAGCUCCCUCGACGAGUCGAGUUGUUUGGGAAUGCAGCUCAAACCGGGUGGUAAAUCUCACCUAAAGCUAAACAUGGGCUGGAGACCGAUAGCGCACAAGUAGAGUGAUCGAAAGAUGAAAAGCACUUUGAAAAGAGAGUUAAACAGCACGUGAAAUUGUUGAAAGGGAAGCGCUCGCGAUCAGACCUGCCUGUGGCCCCUCAGCCGGUGGAACGCCGCCGGCGCACUGGGUCGCGGGCAGGCCAGCAUCGGCCCGGGUGGCGGGACGAAGGCGCCGGGAAUGUGGCUCCCCUCGGGGUGUGUUAUAGCCCGGCGCGUCACGCCGCCGUCCGGGCCGAGGCCCGCGCUCCGGCAAGGAUGCUGGCGUAAUGGUCGCCAGCGACCCGUCUUGAAACACGGACCAAGGAGUCUAACAUCCACGCGAGUGUUUGGGUGUGGACACCCCGGCGCGAAAUGAAAGUGAACGGAGGUGGGAACCCGUCAGGGUGCACCAUCGACCGAUCCUGAAGGCUUCGGAUGGAUUUGAGUACGAGCGUGGCUGUUGGGACCCGAAAGAUGGUGAACUAUGCCUGAAUAGGGUGAAGCCAGAGGAAACUCUGGUGGAGGCUCGCAGCGGUUCUGACGUGCAAAUCGAUCGUCAAAUUUGGGUAUAGGGGCGAAAGACUAAUCGAACCAUCUAGUAGCUGGUUCCUGCCGAAGUUUCCCUCAGGAUAGCAGUAACGCGCGGCAGUUUUAUGAGGUAAAGCGAAUGAUUAGAGGCCUUGGGGUUGAAACAACCUUAACCUAUUCUCAAACUUUGAAUAUGUAAGAAGUCCUUGUUGCUCGGUUGAACGUGGACAUUCGAAUGCGCCGUUACUAGUGGGCCAUUUUUGGUAAGCAGAACUGGCGAUGCGGGAUGAACCGAACGCGGGGUUAAGGUGCCGGAAUGCACGCUCAUCAGACACCACAAAAGGUGUUGGUUCAUCUAGACAGCAGGACGGUGGCCAUGGAAGUCGGAACCCGCUAAGGAGUGUGUAACAACCCACCUGCCGAAUGAACUAGCCCUGAAAAUGGAUGGCGCUCAAGCGUGCUACCUAUACCCCGCCGCCGGGGUAGGAACGAUGCCCCGGCGAGUAGGCAGGCGUGGGGGCCGGUGACGAAGCCUUGGGAGCGAUCCCGGGUCGAACGGCCCCUAGUGCAGA
rnacentral:rRNA from 1 species